rnacentral:rRNA from 1 species
UUCGGUUCGGCCGGACGAAACACAGGUGCUGCAUGGCUGUCGUCAGCUCGUGUCGUGAGAUGUUGGGUUAAGUCCCGCAACGAGCGCAACCCUCACUUUUAGUUGCCAUCAUUAAGUUGGGCACUCUGAAAGAACUGCCAGUGAUAAGCUGGAGGAAGGUGGGGAUGACGUCAAGUCCUCAUGGCCCUUACGUGUUGGGCUACACACGUGCUACAAUGGUAUCUACAACAGGAAGCAAGACUGCGAAGUUAAGCAAAUCCCUAAAAGAUACCUCAGUUCGGAUUGCACUCUGCAACUCGAGUGCAUGAAGCUGGAAUUACUAGUAAUCGUGGAUCAGCGUGCCACGGUGAAUGCGUUCCCGGGUCUUGUACACACCGCCCGUCACACCAUGGGAGUUGGUUCUACCUUAAGGCAAGGUUUCAAACCCUUGACCACGGUAUAGUCAGCGACUGGGGUGAAGUCGUAACAAGGUAGCCGUAGGGGAACCUGCGGCUGGAUUACCUCCUUUCUA